rnacentral:lncRNA from 1 species
CCCCGGCUGCCGCUUCCGGGCGGCGGGGGCGGAAGUCCCGCCUCCUGGGGCGCGGCAGGACGCGGGGCAGCCUUGCGCGAAGGGGCGUUUUCGUGGAGCCACCUGCCGCGCCACGCUCCAGUCCCGUCACUUGUGCUCGCGAGCGCCGGUGCGCGCAGGUGCGGGCGGGGUUGUGGGGACGCCGGGAGGGCGGCGCGGUACUUUCCAGAAGGUUCCGCACCGGAAGCGCCUGCCGAGGCCGGAGGCUGGGUGCAGGGGCGGAGACGCGGAGAACUUGGGAUCCUGGUUUAAGGGAGCUGGGAAGCUGCCGCAGGUUUGUUUAAACGAUAUUUUUUUGGUGGCGGAACACGAAGUAAAGUUUUCCGUCGGCGCAGUUCCUGCGUGUGCUGUUCAAGCGGCCUGAAGUGCGUUCAGGUUCGGCCGGGCUGUCCCUCCUCCUGGUCCCGACCCCUCAAACCCCGGGCCGAACACCGCCCUCUCCUGCGGGACAGUCUUUCUAUGGCCGGCGCGUUUCGCCUAGCAGGGUCCUCAGAGGGACCGCGUUAGAGCCUGGGUUUCCUUCCAGGGGGACCAGCGCUCCCUGGGUGGACCGACCCCACCGCUUACCCAUUGCUGGACGCCUGCGUGCACCGACCCCACCGCUUACCCAUUGCUGGACGCUUGCCCUGUUGCCAUCUCCUCGCUAGCGUGAACAGUGCUGCGUGCAGAUCUCUCUUUCAUUGAUUGUUUUGCGUCUGUACCCAGAAGUGGGAUUGCUGGACCAUCUCUGCCCAUUUUAAAAUUGGGAAAUGACAUGAUCUGAUUUAAGCUAUUUAAAAAUCACUUGGGCCUGGGCUCGGUGGCUCACGCGUGUAAUCACAACACUUUGGGAAGCCGAGACAGGCGGAUCACCUGAGGUCAGAAGUUUGAGACCAGCCUGGCCAACAUGGUGAAACCCGGUCUCUACUAAAAAUACAAAAAUUAGCCGGGCACGGUGGCUCCAGCCUGUAAUACCAGCUACUCAGGAGGCUGAGGCAGGAGAGUUGCUUGAACCCAGGAAGCGGAGGUUGCAGUGAGCUGAGAUUGCCUCACUGCACUCCAGCCUGGGCAACAGAGUGAAACAAUGUCUCAAAAAAAUAAAAAUAAAAAAACUGAAUGGUUCCACAGAAAUACUGAGACUUCUGCUUAAACAGGCUUUCUUGAACCUGUACGCUUCCAGUUGGGUCUGCUGCUUCCAGGUCAUUUACUAAAAAUGAUAGGAAGAUUUAAAAAAUAAAAAUAAAAGGAAGGCCGGGCGUGGUGGCUCACGCCUGUAAUCCCAGCACUUUGGGAGGCCUAGGUGAGCGGAUCACGAGGUCAGGAGCUCGAGACCAUCCUGGCUAACACGGUGAAAACCCGUCUCUACUAAUAAUACAAAAAAAAAAAAAAAAAAUAGGGCAUGGUGGCGGGUGCUUGUAGUCCCAGCUACUAGGGAGGCUGAGGCAGGAGAAUGCCGUGAACCCGGGAGGCGGAGCUUGCAGUGAGCCGAGAUCGCGCCACUGCACUCCAGACUGGGCGACAGAGCGAGACUCUGUCUCAAAAAAAUAAAGGAAAAUUGGGCCGGGCGCAGUGCCUCACGCCUGUAAUCCCAGCACUUUGGGAGGCUGAGGUGGGCGGAUCACGAGGUUAGGAGAUCAAGACCAGCCUGACCAACAUGGUGAAACCCCGUCUUUACUGAAAUACAAAAAAGCCUGGCGUGGUGGUGCGCGCCUGUAGUCCCUGCUACUCGAGAGCCUAAGGCCGGAUAAUCGCUUGAACCUGGGAGGCAGAGGUUGCAGUGAGCCAGGAUGGUGCCACUGCACUCCAGCCUGGGUGACAGAGACUCUGUCUCAAAAAAAAGAAAAUCAGCCAGGCUCAGUGGCUCAUGCCUGUAAUCCCAGCACUUUGGGAGGCCGAGGCGGGCAGAUCACCUGAGAUCAGGAGUUUGAGACCAGCCUGGCCAACAUGGUGAAACCCCAUCUCUACUAAAAAUACAAAAAUUAGCUGGUACAUACCUGUAAUCCCAGCUACCCAGGAGGCUGAGGCAGGAGAAUCGCUGGAAUCCAGGAGGCAGAAGCUGCAGUGAGCUGAGAUCACACUACUGCACUCCAGCCUGGGUGACAGAGCAAGACUCCAUCUCAAAAAAUAAAAUAAAAAACAAGGGAAAAUCCACAAGGACAUAGUUGAAUCCAUAAGAAGAAAUGACAGCAGAUAAAUCAGUUAACAAAAGUUCAAGAGCUGGAGAUCAGAUCUUUAUCGACCUGAGAAUAUGGAACACCAGUGCCUAUGUGGAAGGAAACCAGGAAGCAAGUUCAUUUAAUCCAGUGAGUCUGGAAGAGUCUGGGAGUUGGCAGCAUUAGCCUCCUGUCUGAGAGCUGUGGGGCUGAAAGCAGGAGCAUUUAGAGGAAAAGGUUGCCUUCCACAUUUCGUUUCUCCCCCACAUGUUCAGGGGAAUAGCUCACUUUCAUCACCGUGGAGCACUAGAGAAAGGCCAUUCCAGGGGACUUGAACAGGAGGGUUCUGGAUUUCAGGACACCAAGCAUAGCUCAGAUUGGGGAUGCAGUAAUAAAGAUGGGAUUAUACAGAGUUCACAUAAGGAAGAGUAGGACCUCUAACCCCUUUCCUCCAGAUAGCCACAAGAAUGUUGGCCACUAGGCUCAUUCCCUGCUCAGCUACCACCACCAUCCUUCCCCCAAUGCCCUGACAAGAACUAAAGGAUUCCUCUGUGUGGAAACUGACCAGCCCAGGAGAAAAUAUUUUUUUUUAAUGUAUUUUUUACGCCGGGCGCAGUGGCUCAUGCUCGAUAAUCCCAGCACUUUGAGAGGCCGAGACAGGCGGAUGGAUCACUUGAGGUCAGGAGUUCGAGACCAGCCUGGCCAACAUGGUGAAACCCCAUCUCUACUAAAAAUACAAAAAAUUAGCAGGGCAUAGUGGCACGCGCUGGUAAUCCCAGCUACUCAGGAGGCUGAGCCAGGAGAAUCACUUGGAAACGGGAGGCUGCAGUGAGCUGAGAUCAUGCCACCGCACUCCAGCCUGGGCAACAGAGUGAGACUCUGUCUCAAAAAAAAAAAAAAAAAAAAAGCCUGUUUUCUGAUGACUGUUAAGUGUGUGAAACUAAAAACUCCUGGUCUCUGCUCUCCCCUGUGUGCCUGACAGCACUCCGUAAAGGUGUGUUCAGCGAACUGACCGGAUGCGGGCUGUGGUAAGCCAUAUACAUGAUGUGAAAUCUUCUCCAGCAAAUUCUCUUGACCUUGCCGUGACACUCUGAUGCCCUAUGAUGAGGUGGUGAAGAUGGUGGCUCAAGACCUGGCUGACUGCCUCUGAAUCAGGACUGUCUCUUGCUAGCUGAGGCAUCUUGCAUCCCCCACAUGUGGAGUAGAGAAAACAAUGGCACCUCCCUCAGGGCUGCUGCAGCUCUCAGAAGAGUUCCGGCACAAAGCAGCCCUAAGCGGUGUCAGUACUGUCAUCUCUGGAUUCUAAUCUAGAAUCUGUUCUGAGAUCCAGGUUCUUAAUCCUCCAUCAUGGCAGGGGGUGGGACUCACUGGGAAGUGGCAAGUUAGAGGGAUAGUCAGAAUUGUCACCUUCUGCAUCAAUUGCAGGAGCAUCUGUUACUUUUGCAAAUGCCCUAAACUUCCUUUGGGAACGACCCCACCUUAAAUAUUCUGAACUGAAAGAGCAGUUCUUUGAAAACCCAAGGCAAGCAGGACUUGAGCAGGCAUUAGUGCCGCUGUCUUCACCGCCACAUCCUUCACGGCAUCCAGGAGCUGGAAACAGUCUAGCCACUGACGGACAGACGGACAGGCAAAAUGCAGUCCACGCACACGGCAAUGUUCAGCCUUUUAAGUUUUUAAUUUUUAUUUUAUUAUUUCUUAGUAGAGAGGGGGUUUCAUCAUGUUGGCCAGGCUGGUUUCAAACUCCUGACCUCAAGUAAUCCGCCUGCCUCGGCCUCAAAAAGUGCUAGGAUUACA